rnacentral:rRNA from 1 species
CUUGGCGACCAUAGCGUUUUGGACCCACCUGAUUUCCAUGUCGAACUCAGAAGUGAAACGAAAUAGCGCCGAUGGUAGUGUGGG